CACGUGAGCAACCUGCCCUGGACUCUGGGAUAAGCGCUGGAAACGGUGUCUAAUACUGGAUAUGAGCUCUCAUCGCAUGGUGGGGGUUGGAAAGAUUUUUUGGUCUGGGAUGGGCUCGCGGCCUAUCAGCUUGUUGGUGAGGUAAUGGCUUACCAAGGCGUCGACGGGUAGCCGGCCUGAGAGGGUGACCGGCCACACUGGGACUGAGACACGGCCCAGACUCCUACGGGAGGCAGCAGUGGGGAAUAUUGCACAAUGGGCGGAAGCCUGAUGCAGCAACGCCGCGUGAGGGAUGACGGCCUUCGGGUUGUAAACCUCUUUUAGCAGGGAAGAAGCGUGAGUGACGGUACCUGCAGAAAAAGCGCCGGCUAACUACGUGCCAGCAGCCGCGGUAAUACGUAGGGCGCAAGCGUUAUCCGGAAUUAUUGGGCGUAAAGAGCUCGUAGGCGGUUUGUCGCGUCUGCUGUGAAAUCCCGAGGCUCAACCUCGGGUCUGCAGUGGGUACGGGCAGACUAGAGUGCGGUAGGGGAGAUUGGAAUUCCUGGUGUAGCGGUGGAAUGCGCAGAUAUCAGGAGGAACACCGAUGGCGAAGGCAGAUCUCUGGGCCGUAACUGACGCUGAGGAGCGAAAGGGUGGGGAGCAAACAGGCUUAGAUACCCUGGUAGUCCACCCCGUAAACGUUGGGAACUAGUUGUGGGGACCAUUCCACGGUUUCCGUGACGCAGCUAACGCAUUAAGUUCCCCGCCUGGGGAGUACGGCCGCAAGGCUAAAACUCAAAGGAAUUGACGGGGACCCGCACAAGCGGCGGAGCAUGCGGAUUAAUUCGAUGCAACGCGAAGAACCUUACCAAGGCUUGACAUACACCAGAACACCGUAGAAAUACGGGACUCUUUGGACACUGGUGAACAGGUGGUGCAUGGUUGUCGUCAGCUCGUGUCGUGAGAUGUUGGGUUAAGUCCCGCAACGAGCGCAACCCUCGUUCUAUGUUGCCAGCACGUUAUGGUGGGAACUCAUGGGAUACUGCCGGGGUCAACUCGGAGGAAGGUGGGGAUGACGUCAAAUCAUCAUGCCCCUUAUGUCUUGGGCUUCACGCAUGCUACAAUGGCCGGUACAAAGGGCUGCAAUACCGUGAGGUGGAGCGAAUCCCAAAAAGCCGGUCCCAGUUCGGAUUGAGGUCUGCAACUCGACCUCAUGAAGUCGGAGUCGCUAGUAAUCGCAGAUCAGCAACGCUGCGGUGAAUACGUUCCCGGGUCUUGUACACACCG
rnacentral:rRNA from 1 species